UUUUUUAAGGAAAUAGUGUCCGUUGAUAGCCAUGCUUUAAUAUUUGUACUCAUUUUAUGAUAUCUGUAGAGAUUUGGAUCACAACUUAUUGACAGAAAUUAAAAAUCGAACGUUCGUAGGAAUGACAGGAAACCUUCGUACUUUGUGAGUAUAAUUAAUCCUGUUUUGGUUCCCGAUUCUUCUAAUAUAAAUUAAUUGGCGAUACGACAUUUAUCUACCAUAAAUGUAGUAGGCAGGGUAAGUUAUUAAAUAUCAAAGGAGUUAUAAUAGGCAAGUUGAAUAGUCAACCGAUCAUUUAAACUAGGAAUAAUGUGUGGUUUUUUUUUCAGUUAUAUCAAAUAUAAAACAAAAGAUUAGCAUGCAAUGUGUUUCAACAUAUUUAAAAUUGUUUUAGAAUAACAUCAUGAUCUUGAGUCAUACAGAAUAUUUGUUGACGUUGUGUAGGAUUUUAUCAUCUUUUCAGUUUUCUCUUCAUCUGCAAGAGAAAAAUGAAGUUGACUAUUGUUUCUGGUUUCAAUUUGCCUCACUUAUUAUUUUUUUUAUUCAAUUUGACUGGGUUUUUUUAAUGAAUUGCUUUUAUUUAGAUGUGGAAUGAGUGCCAAGAGACAACUAUCCGUAGACCUCUUUACAUAGAAACAAAAUAUAGUACAUGUGCAUGCUUAGCGGAAUUUUCUAGUUCGAAUAAUUAUUUCAAAAGCUUAUAAAACAGGAAUAUAAAAAUAAAAUAUAAACUCCUUGUGGAUUCUAUUGAAUAUUGUAUGAGUCAUUAAAUAAUUUGAAAUAAAAAAAAAAGGGAAAUGAAAAUAUGUGAAGUAAUUCGAAAGGGACAGCAGUUCAUUCAACAUCGUAAGCAAAUCGAUAUACAGACUACUUCAACUUUGUACUUGUUUGACUUUAUAAAUAUUUUGAUAUGAGCGUUACUGAUGAGUCUUAUGUAGACGAAACGCGCGUCUGGCGUACUAAAUUUUAAUCCUGGUACCUUUGAUAACUAUUAUAAGAGGUUAAAGCAAGGUAGGUAACUCGCUCUGAAUAUCCUGGAAUUUAAAACUGUUGUAAAUAAUGUAUAUUUUAUUAGUUUAUAAACAAACACGUCUAUUCAAUGUCUCAUCAAUUUUAUGGCCGUCAACCCUCUGCCUUGAAUCAAAAUGUCUUUAAACGGAACGACCUGAAAUUUGCAGACAAAGAAUUAAGCUCAAUAAAUCACAAGAGGUUUAUUAGCUUAUUUUUUUAUAAACUAUAAAAUAUCAAAAAGGCUUUCUUAAAAAGAUAACAAGUUUAAUUGUUUUCUUGAUCAAACUAAUUUUAUUUCGUAAUUUUUGACUUUCUUUUUGUAGAUCACUCAGAUACAACGAACUAUCACACAUAGAAGAUGGGGCGUUUCUUAGAAUUUCAGGACUUUAUAAUCUGUACGUGAGUUUUAAAUAAAAAUCCAACACACGAUUGUUUUUGUCUCGGUUGACGGAGUAAAAAAAACGAGACAUAGGUAUGCUGUUUCCGGCGGCGGCUGCGUCAACAAUGUAUUAAUUUGUGAUUUGGUUUAGUUUAUGGUGAACUAUUAGUGGUAAGUCAAAGAUAUUUGAUUUGCAGUUGUAUUAGUAGUGACACAUCUCAUUACCAUGGAGACUAUUUUGGCCCACCCCCUCAGUUAUGGCCUAUUGACUUUGUAACGUUUGCUUAGUUUUCAUGUAUUAGUUUCUGAUUACUAAGCUGUUCUGUGUAAACAAUCACAACCUGUUUGAUGAUACGUUCAGAUUUUAUAAUAGCCACUUUCCGUUUUGAAUUUACCAUUUUUUGUUGUUUUACUGAGUAUUUUAAUUUGAAUCCCAAUGCAUUACCUUUUCUUAAAACGUCUAGAAAUAAAAGGUAGCUACAUGUCAUCACAUUAAGUGCAAUGUUCGUUUCAAAUAAUCAGUAAAUACGUUAAAUUAUAUUGCACAUUUAGAAUUUCUAUGAAAACGCAUUCUAAUAUGAGGUGCCUCAUUUGCUUUGUAAACAACACCGUUAUAGAAAUUUCGAUGUAUCUACACUUGGCGUAGACUCCAAAAUGUACAUUAUAAUGGCUGUUGAAUAUAACUCCAACCUAAAUCCACAUGUAUUGUAACCUAUUUUCAAACGCUAUGUCUAUUUCAUUGUGUUAAAAAUUACAAUUGAAAAAAACCUACUGCAACUUUAUUCUUAUUUUUAGGCAUAACAAAUAGAAUCAUUUCAUUGGAAAUCGUAAAAAUGUACUAAAUCAAAAUUAUUUGAAGUUUCAUCAAUGCCUUUGCGCAUUCACGUCAUUUUGAAACAUGACGUCAUACGAAAAAAAACGCCACAUUUCCAUUGCGUGUAACUUUUAAACCCGGAUAAAAAGUAAGAUCACAAAAAUAUUGAACUUCGAGGACAAUUCAAAACGGAAAGUCCCUCAUCAAAUAGCCAAAUCAAUGAUAGAACACAUCAAACGAAUGGACAACCAUUGUCAUAUUCCUGACAUCCAAAUGUAGAAAAUGGUGGAUUAAUCCUUGUUUAAAAGCGCAAAACUUCUCGUUCGUAUGACAGUCGCAUCAGUAUUGAAACCUGUUCCAUUAUCUUGACAACGAUUAAUGGAAAAUGUCGCAAAUAGGGAUAGCAUAUACAGCAACACGAACCCACUAAAACUGGGGUGAUCUCGGGUGCCCAGAAGGAUAAGCAGAUCCUCGGCAUUCGUCGCGUUGCUAAUAUUAUAACAAAGCCAGUAAAUAGUCUAACUCGGUAGGUCACAAUCGUAAGAACGGAAUGAGACGUAAUUACGACAUAAAAAUCCUAUCCGAUAUUAUUUGUGAAAAGGAUAUUCCACAACGGUCAACCAAUUCUCAAUGGCGUCCGAACAUUUUACAAAUUGAUGAUUUCAACUUCAUUUGGAAAUCUUGGUCUAAAAAUCAUAAUUUAGAAGCCGAAAUCAUCUCUUUUGUCCUAAAGUUCUGUUUUCAAUCUGACCCUCAUAGUCAAUAUCUAGAAAUAAGUCAUUAUCAAAUGGCAAGAAACAAAAGCUCAAAUAUGUAAAAAAGCAUUUAAAUAGAGAUUUCAGGUAGGUGUUGCUUUUUAUUUUAUUUUGCAUUAUUACACAAAAUUUAGUCCUGGUAUCUAUGAUGAGUUUAUUUACUGAUUUCAGCAAAUCAACAUGGCGGCACCUUCGUAACAAAAUGUCAGUAGUGAUUUGACGGUUGCUCACAAGAAUAACAUGUGAAUUAAAUAUGACAAAUGUGGGGUUUUAAGAAUUAAAAUAAUCAAUCGCAUUUUUUCUUACGGUUGUUUAAGAAAUGAUUCAUGCAAGCUACAGGUUUAUAUAUUUUUUACAUUUAUCGAACAGUGAGUAAAAUAGAAUAGCCACACGCUAGUAAUUCCAACAUUUUAACGACAUCAUUGGUCCUAUUAGAAUCGAAAUAGUUCAUGGAAGUCAUAAUUUUGAUGUUAAUUUACACAUUGCCUGUGCCGUGGAGUUUGUUAAUUUUAUCCGUCGCGAUCGCCCAGGAUCGCGAUCGCCCAGGAUAAUAUUCGAAUAUGACGGCACAGUCCAAGUGGAAGUUCCACCAAUUCUGUUGCUUCAUUACCUUGAGCUAUUACAAGAGGGGCGAAACAUACCCGAGGGCCAGUCAAACUCAUAGAUCAAAAACUGACAACGCCAUGGCUAAAAAUGAAAUAGGCAAAUAGAUAAAUAGAAGUACACGACACACUACAUAGAUCUAAAGACUAAGCAACGCGAACCCCGACAAAAACUGUCAAAUGUUAUUUUUAUUUGAUGGAUAAAAACACAUUUGUAAAAAAAACCAUCUUGCUGCGCAUGUGGCACUCGUGCUGCUGCCAUAAGUUAAACCCCAGUGAUAGGUCUUAUUCGGUUGGUCCAUUCAGGGAAAGGCACAUGAUUGUAGUUAUAUAAAGUGUUACAUAACUAUCGUCAUAUGUCAAACAGACAUUCAAUAACGGUCAACGAACUCGUGAUGGCGUCUAUAAAGUUUUCGAACGAAAUCUUGCAAAUUUUUCACUUGAAACUCUUUGUUCAAUAUCAUUAUGGUACGCAGAAACCCUACAUAAAGGAAAUCAUGAUAGGUAAUCCAACAUGUUGUUACACGUGUGGCAUAAUUUAGCCCUGGUAUCUAUGGCGACCCACAUACCUUAAAAGACUUCAGUCAAUUGAAUAUUUUUUAUGUCUGGUGAAACAAUAUUGGCUGCAAGAUCCAUGUUUAUGUCACGUUUACAUUGAAAUGGGUUUUUUAUGUUGUUAAUACCCCAGUCCCACUAGGUCACGAUCACACUACGAUCUGUGAAAAAAAGGCAAAUUUUGAUGAUCGUAGUGCGAUCGUGUAGAUCGCAGUAAGGUCGUAUCACGGUCGUGGUGAGGUCUUCAAGAUCGUGAAGAAGAGCGUGGCCAACUUUGAACAUGUUCAAAACAAUCGUGGUGCGGUCGUGGCGAAAUCAGGUCGUAGUAGAAGCGUAGUGAGAGCGCACUAAGAUCGUAGUAAGAUCGCUAAGGUCGCUGUAUAAUCGUAGCGAGAGCGUAGCGAAAGCGUGAUUCUAUUCGGAGAAACUGCGCUACGAUCGCACAGCGACGUUAUCACGACCUCACUACGACCAUCACGUUCUCACUGCGACCCAACUACGCUUCCACUACGACUAUACUACGCUGUUCACGACCAUAGUACGAUUCUAGCACGCUCUUGCCGUCCUCAUCACGCUCGUCUUACGACCUGACUACGUUCACACUACGACCAUCAUUCUCAUUGUCGUUUUCACAUAAAAUAUAUAAAAAAGCUCCCUAGAUUUUGUUAGUUUGAAUGUAAUUAUCCAUUUGCUCUAACGGCUCAGCCAUGCUUCUAUUUUUAUAUAGAUUAGACCGUUGGUUUUCCCGUUUAAAUUGUUUAACAAUAGUAAUAUUUUGGGUCCUUUAUAGCGUGCUGAUUGAUGUGAGCCAAGGCUCCGUGUUGAAGGCCGUACCUUGGCCUAUAAUGGUUUACUUUUAUAAAUUGUUACUUGGAUGGAGAGUUGUCUCAUUGGCACUCAUACCACAUAUUCCUAUAUAUAUUGAUACAUCUAUGUCAUCUCUGCUAUCGUUCACUAAAAUAUCGUCAUUGAGCUUUAUGGACCAGCAAUAGGUUGUAAUUUAGGUUGGAUUGGUCGGUCCGACAUCUCUGCUUGAUCAGGAUUCGUUACUUUGCUCCCUCUGCCUCUACAUCAACUCCUACAUUUUUUUUUUUGUACCACCAUGCCCACGUGUUCUGGUAGAUUUUGGUGGCAUGACUGUAUUGUUUCCGAGAAAUCUACGGUUUAAUCGGAAAUAGAAGGAAUUGAACUGUAAUGAUAUGGAACACGAUGUUGACGUUAUUGCUGAGAACGUAGUAAGAUCGCGCUAUGAACGUAGUAUAAUCGUGGUAAGAACGUGUUAUAAUCGCAGUAAGAUCGUGUUGCAAUCGGAUAACUCGUGGUAUGGUCGUAGUGAGAACGUGAAGAGCGUAGAAAGAUCUUGAUAAGCGUAGUGAGGUCGCAGAAUAAGCGUAGUGAGAACGUGGUAAAAUCGUAGCGGGAUCUUUGUAGAAGCUUAGAGAGGACGUAGUAGCAUCGUGAAAGCAACGAAAAUUUACAUUUUCAUGCCGCUCAUACCGCGACCUCACCACGAUCUAAAAUUAUUUUAGAUCGCGGUGAGCGUGGUGCGAUCGUGGUCUAGUGGGACUGGGGCUUAAGAUCUGAUAACAACGAAAGGUUAAGCUGUAAAAUAAAAACCAUGAUCUUCCGAAAAACAUGCACCAAGUCAGGAAUUUGAUAGUUGGUUUUCGGUUCUUUUGAAUUUGUUUGUUGGUAUAGUAGAUAUGUUUUUUGUCAAUAUAAUCAAUUCAAUGAAAUCUCGUAUCGAGUUUUGUUUAAGGAUGAACUUAGGUGAGGUAAGGUAAAAAAUUAGAAAUUAAGAAAUUAAAUUUGAUACUAUAAGCUGGUAGAUUAAGGAUAAAGAUAAGCUAAAAAUAUUGAUAGGUCAUGGAGCUCCUUUUCGAGAUAUUUGAGAUUUAAAAUAUGGCGGGAAAAGGCUGACUCGGACUUUUACCCUAUAUUUGCAUUGGUAUUAUUUGGGAAUCAAAACAAAAGAAAGAAAAUCAAGAAUCUUCUAAAAUUUUGGUAAAUGACCUUUCAUGAGCUAUUAAGUCUUAUAUGAAAAAAUAAAUGGGUGUUAUGGGGCAAAAUAUUUUACAUUGUAUUGUAUGGAAAAACACCAAGGAUUCCGAACAUUUGACACAAAUUCCAAAACCUCACCUAAGUACAUCCUUAAAUAUUAUUCUAAACAGUGUUAUUAAAAAGAGAACAAUAAAUAACAGCUGGUGAAUUUCAAGACUUAAACGUUAUGUCAUUGUAGUGGUAGACAAACAAUUAAUACGAAGUUGUUACGCUUCAAUUAAUCGUAUACAAUUAAUAACGAAGCUUUAUGUUUUUGUGAUUAUGCUUUUUUAAUGUUUCAAUAUUGUCCGUUAUUUAAUCAAUCCAUAGGUAUUUGGAACACAAUUCAUUGACAGAGAUAAACAAUAAUACAUUCGCAGAUUUGGC
rnacentral:lncRNA from 1 species